rnacentral:rRNA from 1 species
UGGCACCUCGAUGUCGGCUCAUCACAUCCUGGGGCUGUAGCCGGUCCCAAGGGUAUGGCUGUUCGCCAUUUAAAGUGGUACGUGAGCUGGGUUUAAAACGUCGUGAGACAGUUUGGUCCCUAUCUGCAGUGGGCGUUGGAAGUUUGAGGGGGGCUGCUCCUAGUACGAGAGGACCGGAGUGGACGCAUCUCUGGUGUACCGGUUGUGACGCCAGUCGCAUCGCCGGGUAGCUAUAUGCGGAAGAGAUAAACGCUGAAAGCAUCUAAGCGUGAAACUCGCCUCAAGAUGAGACUUCCCU